CUCUUCGGAGGUGACGCCUGUGGAACGAGCGGCGGACGGGUGAGUAACACGUGGGCAACCUGCCUGUAAGAUUGGGAUAACCCCGGGAAACCGGGGCUAAUACCGGAUAAUACUUUUCGUUGCAUAACGAGAAGUUGAAAGGCGGCUUUUAGCUGUCACUUACAGAUGGGCCCGCGGCGCAUUAGCUAGUUGGUAAGGUAACGGCUUACCAAGGCGACGAUGCGUAGCCGACCUGAGAGGGUGAUCGGCCACACUGGGACUGAGACACGGCCCAGACUCCUACGGGAGGCAGCAGUAGGGAAUCUUCCGCAAUGGACGAAAGUCUGACGGAGCAACGCCGCGUGAGUGAUGAAGGUUUUCGGAUCGUAAAACUCUGUUGUCAGGGAAGAACAAGUGCCGUUCAAAUAGGGCGGCACCUUGACGGUACCUGACCAGAAAGCCCCGGCUAACUACGUGCCAGCAGCCGCGGUAAUACGUAGGGGGCAAGCGUUGUCCGGAAUUAUUGGGCGUAAAGCGCGCG
rnacentral:rRNA from 1 species